rnacentral:rRNA from 3 species
GGAUGCGAUCAUACCAGCACUAAAGCACCGGAUCCCAUCUGAACUCCGAAGUUAAGCGUGCUUGGGCGAGAGUAGUACUAGGAUGGGUGACCUCCUGGGAAGUCCUCGUGUUGCAUUCC